rnacentral:rRNA from 1 species
GAGGAAUAUUGGUCAAUGGGCGGAAGCCUGAACCAGCCAUCCCGCGUGCAGGAAGACGGCCCUAUGGGUUGUAAACUGCUUUUCCAGGGGGAGAAACUUUCCGAUGCAUCGGGAUUUGACGGUACCCUGGGAAUAAGCAUCGGCUAACUCCGUGCCAGCAGCCGCGGUAAUACGGAGGAUGCGAGCGUUAUCCGGAUUUAUUGGGUUUAAAGGGUGCGUAGGCGGGUUAAUAAGUCAGUGGUGAAAACCUACAGCUUAACUGUAGACUUGCCGUUGAUACUGUUAGUCUUGAGUGUGGUCAAGGUAGGCGGAAUGUGUAAUGUAGCGGUGAAAUGCUUAGAUAUUACACAGAACACCGAUUGCGAAGGCAGCUUACUGGGCCAUUACUGGCGCUGAUGCACGAAAGCGUGGGGAUCAAAC